rnacentral:lncRNA from 1 species
AAACUGCUUCCAGCAUUAAAUGGUCAGAUGUUAUUUUUAGAAUUUAGUGGCCAUAACGCAGAUAUCCAGUGCUUCAUUUCGCAAUUUAUAAUUGCAAAGAUGGUGUAUUUAUUUCACGUUUGUGUAUGCUUUUGUGGAAGGAGUGAACCUAUCACUUUCUUUGAAGCGCCGGCACAGCUCUUGGCUUUGGUAGGUAAUGAUGUUAAGAUGUUGAAUGUGCCAUCUGCCUAAACUGAAGAACACGCUAGUGAAGUUAUACAAAGUCUUUUAUCAUCAAUUAAAUUGCUCUUAGUGUGUCGAGUUUACUCGUAUGUGCUUCAAUUUGGAAUAAGUGGGAUGAAAGAGAUAGCAGGUUUUUUCUACCUUAAAUUUCUACAUAUUAAAGGCUCAAUUAGUUAAAAAUUAAGUUGCUCACAGGAACAUAAACCCUGUGAGGUUGCACUCGUUUUCAUCCUUACAGGAACGUAAACCCUGUUGCUAUCUCAGCUAUGCCUACCAGAGGCUUUGGUAAAGUUGGAAUAAGAGAGAAGUAACUCAUUUUGGGGUGGGCUUGCUGUAUUGAUGAACAUUUGAAGAAUUGCUUAUCAAAUUGGAGAGAUGGAUACAGGAUGUACACUUGCAUUACAAAUUUAUUUAUGUAAAUCACAAUGAAAAACAUGUUACAGUACAUUUUGUGAUUAGGGAACUUUUGAAUUGCUGAAGAAAAAUAGGGAUUAAUAUUCAUGCAAAGCUGAGAAUGCAGAACAAUGAAGAAAUACAAGAAAUCUAUUAUAACUUGCCCAUGAUAAGCAGGACCAGUGAAACGUACCUG